rnacentral:rRNA from 1 species
AAUUUUGCGCAAUGGGGGAAACCCUGACGCAGCAACGCCGCGUGAGUGACGACGGCCNNNGGGUUNUCAAGCUCUGUCGUGUANGACNAGUAGGGACGGUAAUACACAAGGAAGCCUCGGCUAACUACGUGCCAGCAGCCGCGGUAAGACGUAGGGGGCAAGCGUUAUCCGGAAUCACUGGGCGUAAAGAGCUCGUAGGUGGAAAUGUAAGUUAUUGAAUAAAUCCCAAUGCUUAACAUUGGCUAAUUUGGUAAUACUGCAUAUCUUGAGGACAGAAGGGGAAACUGGAAUUCCAAGUGUAGCGGUGAAAUGCGUAGAGAUUUGGAAGGACAUCGGUGGCGAAGGCGUGUUUCUGGUCUGUAUCUGACACUGAGGAGCGAAAGUUAGGGUAGCGAACG